rnacentral:misc_RNA from 1 species
CAAAGCUAUAAACAUCACAUUUCUCAUUUGCUUCCAUCAUGUAGGCAAGCUCUGGAGCUGCGUAUCCAAGUGUGCCUCCAAAUGAAGUCCAAUUGGAAGAGGUUGGCUUCAAAAUUCUAGCCGUACCGAAGUCAGACACAUGAGCCGUGUGGUCCGCAUCCAACAAAACAUUAUUGCUUGAUAUGUCUCGAUGGAUUAUAGGAGGAAAGCAUUCGUGGUGCAUGUAACAUAGAGCAUCUGCCACACCCUUUAUGAUAGUUAUUCUCUUAAUCCAAUCUAGAUCUACGGCUGAUGCCUCAUUUCUUAGUACUUUAGCCAAGCUCCCUCGUUCCAAGAACUCGUACACCAAAAAUGAGUGCCUUGGGUGCAAACAAUACCCAAAGAACCCCACAAUAUUUCUGUGUCGCACUUCAGCCAAAGCCGUAAUCUCACUUGUGAAAGCUUUGAGAUUGAUCCCGCCUUCUUCAGGUUGGUGAAGUUUCUUGACCGCAACAACUUGACCUGUUGGCAGCUCAGCUUUAUAAACACUCGCACUUCCUCCAACGCCAAUGCAAUACUUGGAGUCGAACUCCUCGGUUGCCUCAACGAUGCUUUCAUGUACCAUCUUUCCGUCAUAGUUCAGUAUUGUUGUGAAAUUUUCGUUGAGUACUUCUAUUGGCUUAUCUUUGUUCUUCUUCUUUCUGCGACGAACAAAUAUUCCAAGCGUGGCAAAUUGUAGAAUUACAAUGCCGAAAACAGGUGCCAUGAUUAAGAACACUAUCUUCUUGCUGUGCUUCCUUCCAGAUGUCAUGGUGCAGGCCUCUAAAGCCUUGUUGUUGCCACACAAAUCUUGAUUGUUCUCGAGCAUUUCUGCUGAUGCCUUGCUGAAUGCUGGAUUAUUGGGGAGAGGACCCUCCAAUUGAUUGUUGGAUAUGUCAAUAGAUGUCAAGCUAACCAUCUCACUAAAGCUUGACGGGAUGGAGCCUGAAAGUUCAUUAUGGGAGAUGUUGAAAAUUUCUAAGCUGCGAAGGAACCCAAGCUUAUACGGCAAUUCUCCUCUAAGCAUAUUGUAGCUUAGGUCAAGACUUUGGAGAGUGCGUAAAUUGCCAAUCUGGAAGGGAAUGCUAUUGCCCAGUGUAUUCCUACUUAAAUUCAAGAAAAGCAGCCUGGAACACUUCUCUAGUUGUUCAGGAAUAGAUCCGCCCAGACGAUUUGC